AGAGUUUGAUCCUGGCUCAGGAUGAACGCUGGCGGCGUGGAUAAGGCAUGCAAGUCGAGUGGGUUUAGGCCCACGGCAAACGGGUUCGGAAUACAUAGGAAUUUUCCUCAGAGUCGUGAAUAAUUCGGAGAAAUCCGAGCUAAUACACGAUACGCUCUACGGAGUAAAGAUUUAUCGCUUUGAGAUGAGCCUGUGUCCUAUCAGCUUGUUGGUGAGGUAAAAGCCCACCAAGGCUAUGACGGGUAGGGGGUGUGAGAGCAUGGCCCCCAACAUUGGAACUGAGACACUGUCCAAACACCUACGGGUGGCUGCAGUCGAGAAUAUUCCACAAUGGACGAAAGUCUGAUGGAGCGACGCCGCGUGUGGGAUGAAGGCCUUCGGGUUGUAAACCACUUUUUCAGGGAGCAAUUUCGAUGAGAGUACCUGAAGAAUAAGAGGUUACUAACUCUGUG
rnacentral:rRNA from 1 species